rnacentral:rRNA from 1 species
UUUAGAGGAACCUGCCCUGUAAACGAUGAACCACGAAUUACUUUACUUUUUCUUGUAAAUCAGUUUGUAUACCGCUGUUGUCAGUUAGUUUCUUUAGAAAACUCUCAUUAAUGAUAAAUUCAAUGACUUCAAGUAAAGGUGCAGCUUAUGAAAAAGAUAGAGGUGGGUUACAUUUAAAGGAAUAAUAUGAAUAAAGUUUUGAAAUAUGCUUUUGAAGGUGGAUUUAAUUGUAAAGUUUAAUAAAACUUGAUGUGAGC